GGUGGCUCAGUGGUAGAGUACUUGCCUUGCAAGCAUGAGGUCCUGGGGUCGAUUCCUUAGCACCA
rnacentral:tRNA from 1 species